rnacentral:rRNA from 1 species
CGGUAUUAUGACCGUGCGAAGGUAGCAUAAUCAUUAGUCUUUUAAUUGAAGGCUGGAAUGAAGGGUUGGACGAGAAAUAAGCUGUCUUUAUCUUAAAAAUUGAAUUUAACUUUUAAGUGAGAGGGCUUAAAUGGAUUAAAGGGACGAUAAGACCCUAUAAAGUUUAUAUGUUGAACUAAUUAAAGAUAAUUAGGAAGAGUAAAGUUUAUUAUUGGUUAGGCAUUUAGUUGGGGCGACUGAAAUAUAAGUUAAUUUAACUGUUUUAAAUUAAGGUCAAAGAUGUUUGAGUUUGUGAUCCCUUUUUAGGAUGAUAGAAUAAGUUACUUUAGGGAUAACAGCGUAAUUUUUUUUGAGAGUUCUUAUCGACAAAAAAGUUUGCGACCUCGAUGUUGAAUUAAAAGUUUCUUUGUAGUGCAGCAAUUACAAUAGAAGG